CUUCUGAGGAGGAGUCCCAUACUAGGACGAAACGGCCGUCCAUAAC
rnacentral:hammerhead_ribozyme from 1 species